rnacentral:tRNA from 1 species
GCCCAGGUAGCUCAGUCGGUAGAGCAGCGGAUUGAAAAUCCGCGUGUCGCUGGUUCGAUUCCGGCCCUGGGCA